GCACGUUCGUCCGUCGCAUUCGUAUGAGUGGUGUCCGCGGUGAUGACGGUGUCCGACAAUCUGUGUGUACAGGGCACGUCUCACUGGUGACUUUUCUGUGACUUUUUUUGUUCUAACUCGUUAGUUUAUUACCGCGUAUUUGAAAACCAAAUAAAAAAACUGAGACUAAUUUUCAAAAAAAAGUAAAUAUUAGGUAUACAAUAUACAUAUAAAAAUGUAAUUUUUAAUUCGCAUUCACGCUGUAAUCGUUUACAGAGUUAUGGUAUACACAGUAAAACACUCGCGCUGCAUAAUGAAUAAACGAUGACGACGUGUGCCGCAUAAAUGCAUAAUAAUAUAAUAUAAUAUUUAUUAUACUUAGUACUUAGUAGUUGCCAUCACUCGCCAUCGGUGAUUACAGUAAACACAGCAAGCACACAUCCAUAAUAAUCAUAAUAGGUAUGGCAGUGCACGCUAAAGUUUCCAAAGUCGUAUAGCCCGAUAGGCACAUCAGUAGGUAUGAUAUGCUGUUUGAUAUGUUACGGUCUGUUUAAAACAAAUACUAUUUGUAAACGAUAUAUUAUUAAUCUUACAUUCUUACCUAAUCCUAACCCUGUAUCCAUGGGCGUACGUAAACUGACCCCUGCGGUGGUUCUUAAAAAGGUUCGAAUUAAAGGUUCUUGUGUGAUGAUAACUGAUUAAUUAGUAACUUUAUCACAUUUAUAUUAUUAAUAAAUAUUAAAACUGGCUUCAUUUUUUUCAUGUAAAAUGUAAAAAUGUUCGCUAUCUAGUAUAAUAUAUAUAUCUAUAUGCAUUUAUUAAAGAAAAAGCCAGAGGCCGCAGGGGGGCCGCCCCCUCUCAAUCCCCUUGAUGAUACCUAUGAGGCUAUAUCUAAAUGUUCCACUCCAAUUUUGGAUAAUAGGUAUAUUUAUGUAUAUAAUAAAUAUAUACAAAAACUUAAUAAUCAAAGUCGAACUUCUGUCUGCAUGCAGUAUAUAUACUUAAAUAACUGUUUUAGAUUUUAUACCAGGCAGUGGACAAUAGGUCGGAGAAAAAUGUUGAUAGACCAUUUAUACAAUUAAUGAAUGUUUGUUACUUUAUUCCUCGCAUAAUUUUUUUCAUUUUAGAAUACUAAGUAAUAUCAAGUAAUACCUGUCUGGCUGUCUAUUUCGCUGAAUGGUGUGGUAGCGACCGUCGUUAUUUUGUUUGUAUUUCUCGACAGCUGUAUUUAGAUAAAAAAUACUUAUAAAAUUAGCCCUACAAAUUACCUACAAAUUAUAACGUAAGUACAUACAACUUAAAACAGUCAAUGAUUCUAAAUUAUACUAUUUAUGUUGCAGAAUAGUGUUUUAUUAGUACAGGUAAAAAAAGUAUUUAGUUAUAAUUGUUAUAAAUUAUAAUAUAUUUUUAUAAAGACUUUUAGAUUCUGAGCAGAGCAAUGAAUGUAAUAGUUUUACAACGAUUUUGCAUUUAUUGUAUCAGCCAUCACGUUUUGGAGCAGUAAAACUGCUUAAAUAUUGUGACUGGUUUUUGAUACUAUAGGAAAAUAUGAUCAUCAAUUGUCAAAUAAAUAUAAAAGAGCUUUUAAAUGUUACACUGGUCAAAAAACUUAUAAUCAUUAAUAUGCAGUUAGUAUUUGAAUGAUUCAUUAAUAAAUAAAUCAGUGUACGUACUUUUUCCAUUAUAAAACCAUACAUUUUUGUCGCCAAAGCUUUGUAUAGAGAUGAAUGCAUAAUAUACAAUAUACAUAUAAUAUUUAUAAUUUAAUGUUGAAUUAGAAUUAGAGUUAUCAACUUAUAAACUUAUUGAUGUCAUCAAUUAAAUACUGUGUACAUAUUAUAAUAUGAUAAAAAAUAAUUUUUUUAUAUUUUUAAUUGUAAUAAUUUCAAUAUCA